rnacentral:rRNA from 1 species
CGAAGGAUGCAAGCGUUAUCCGGAUUCAUUGGGUUUAAAGGGAGCGUAGGUGGUCUUAUAAGUCAGUGGUGAAAUCUCGCAGCUUAACUGCGAAACUGCCAUUGAUACUGUAGGACUUGAGUAUAGUUGCUGUGGGCGGAAUAUGACAUGUAGUGGUGAAAUACUUAGAGAUGUCAUAGAACACCGAUUGCGAAGGCAGCUCACAAAACUAUAACUGACACUGAGGCUCGAAAGUGCGGGGAUCAAACAGGAUUAGAUACCCUGGUAGUCCGCACUGUAAACGAUGAUUACUCGCUGCUAGAGGGCAACCUUUAGUGGCUUAGCGAAAGCGAUAAGUAAUCCACCUGGGGAUACGCCGGCAACGGUG